GAUGAACGCUGGCGGCGUGCUUAACACAUGCAAGUCGAACGAAGCACCUUGAUUUCUUCGGAAUGAUUGGUGACUGAGUGGCGGACGGGUGAGUAACGCGUGGGUAACCUGCCUCACACAGGGGGAUAACAGUUAGAAAUGACUGCUAAUACCGCAUAAGACCACAGCACCGCAUGGUGCAGUGGUAAAAACUCCGGUGGUGUGAGAUGGACCCGCGUCUGAUUAGCUAGUUGGUGGGGUAACGGCCCACCAAGGCGACGAUCAGUAGCCGACCUGAGAGGGUGACCGGCCACAUUGGGACUGAGACACGGCCCAAACUCCUACGGGAGGCAGCAGUGGGGAAUAUUGCACAAUGGGCGAAAGCCUGAUGCAGCGACGCCGCGUGAAGGAUGAAGUAUUUCGGUAUGUAAACUUCUAUCAGCAGGGAGAAAAUGACGGUACCUGACUAAGAAGCCCCGGNUAACUACGUGCCAGCAGCCG
rnacentral:rRNA from 1 species